AGGUAGGGCCUAGUGGGUUUCAACAGAAGGUAAUAUUUUAUAUUCAGAGGCACUUGAGAGUGCAACAUAGCAACAUAGCAAUCAGAUGCACAAUUUGGGAACGUAAGUGCAAAGGGCAAAAUCAAGAGAAGAAUGUCUGGCCACUCUCUAUAUAAACCUGUUCCUGAUGUUCAUCUAUAAUAUGAAAUGGCCUCCUAAUAGCUCUGCCAUUGGCAUCCAGUGGUUCUGAACUGGGCUGAAGCCACCAGGUAUGAGGUGUUUUGAUUUUGUCCAGUAACUGGAGGAUACACUACUGGCCUUUAUCAGGGUCCUCUGCCCAAAGUUUGAGGGAACAGGAAGAUAAAAAGAGCUGCAUUUAACAUCUGGCCACACAUAUAUGCUCUGCUAUGGGAAGAUAUCCCAGGGAGGCUCUCCAGGGGAGAAGCAGGGAGGAAGGAAGGAAGAAAGAAGAAGAUAAUCACAAGAAGGCAGAAAGGUGAGAAACUCAGACACAAGAGCAACCAAAUUCUGAGUAAAACCAGGGGUCCUUUUAUCACCCCCUGACCAUCUGCUCUCCAUAUUCUUUAUCUUGCCCCUUUCUUUACCCUAUUCUAUAUGCUCAAGUAACUCCUCCCCUUUGCCAUUCCACUUUACUUUUAUUUCUUCUUUUUUUUUUAUUUUUUAAAGUAUUUUUUUUAGUUGUAGAUGGACUCAAUAUCUUUAUUUAUUUAUUUUUAUGUGGUGCUGGGGACCGAACCCAGUGCCUCACACAUACGA